rnacentral:rRNA from 1 species
AGAACGAACGCUGGCGGCAGGCUUAACACAUGCAAGUCGAACGCACCGCAAGGUGAGUGGCAGACGGGUGAGUAACGCGUGGGAAUCUACCCAGUUCUACGGAACAACUGAGGGAAACUUCAGCUAAUACCGUAUACGCCCGAUAGGGGAAAGAUUUAUCGGAAUUGGAUGAGCCCGCGUUGGAUUAGCUAGUUGGUGGGGUAAUGGCCUACCAAGGCGACGAUCCAUAGCUGGUCUGAGAGGAUGAUCAGCCACACUGGGACUGAGACACGGCCCAGACUCUACGGGAGGCAGCAGUGGGGAAUAUU